rnacentral:piRNA from 1 species
UGCGCAGCCCAGCUAUUUUAGCAUUUCUCUG